GACGAACGCUGGCGGCGUGCUUAACACAUGCAAGUCGAACGGAAAGGCCUCUUUCGGGGGGUACUCGAGUGGCGAACGGGUGAGUAACACGUGAGUAACCUGCCCUUGACUUUGGGAUAACUUCAGGAAACUGGGGCUAAUACCGGAUAGGAGCUCCUGCUGCAUGGUGGGGGUUGGAAAGUUUCGGCGGUUGGGGAUGGACUCGCGGCUUAUCAGCUUGUUGGUGGGGUAGUGGCUCACCAAGGCUUUGACGGGUAGCCGGCCUGAGAGGGUGACCGGCCACAUUGGGACUGAGAUACGGCCCAGACUCCUACGGGAGGCAGCAGUGGGGAAUAUUGCACAAUGGGUGGAAGCCUGAUGCAGUAACGCCGUGUGCGGGAUGACGGCCUUCGGGUUGUAAACCGCUUUCGCUCAUGACGAAGCUUUGUGUGACGGUAGUGGGUAAAGAAGCACCGGCUAACUACGUG
rnacentral:rRNA from 1 species